rnacentral:rRNA from 1 species
UACAGAGGGGGCAAGCGUUGUUCGGAAUUACUGGGCGUAAAGGGCGCGUAGGCGGCCUGCUAAGUCGAACGUGAAAUCCCCGGGCUCAACCCGGGAACUGCGUCCGAUACUGACAGGCUUGAAUCCGGGAGAGGGAUGUGGAAUUCCAGGUGUAGCGGUGAAAUGCGUAGAUAUCAGGAGGAACACCAAUGGCGAAGGCAGCUCGCUGGGACGGUACUGACGCUGAGGCGCGAAAGCGUGGGGAGCAAACAGG